GACGAACGCUGGCGGCGUGCUUAACACAUGCAAGUCGAACGAAGAGCGAUGGAAGCUUGCUUCUAUCAAUCUUAGUGGCGAACGGGUGAGUAACGCGUAAUCAACCUGCCCUUCAGAGGGGGACAACAGUUGGAAACGACUGCUAAUACCGCAUACGAUCUAAUCUCGGCAUCGAGGAUAGAUGAAAGGUGGCCUCUACAUGUAAGCUAUCACUGAAGGAGGGGAUUGCGUCUGAUUAGCUAGUUGGAGGGGUAACGGCCCACCAAGGCGAUGAUCAGUAGCCGGUCUGAGAGGAUGAACGGCCACAUUGGGACUGAGACACGGCCCAGACUCCUACGGGAGGCAGCAGUGGGGAAUCUUCCGCAAUGGACGAAAGUCUGACGGAGCAACGCCGCGUGGGCGAUGACGGCCUUCGGGUUGUAAAGCUCUGUUAAUCGGGACGAAAGGCCUCCUUGCGAAUAGUGAGAAGGAUUGACGGUACCGGAAUAGAAAGCCACGGCUAACUACGUG
rnacentral:rRNA from 1 species